GGGUUGUGAGGUUAAGCGACUAAGCGUACACGGUGGAUGCCCUGGCAGUCAGAGGCGAUGAAGGACGUGCUAAUCUGCGAUAAGCGUCGGUAAGGUGAUAUGAACCGUUAUAACCGGCGAUUUCCGAAUGGGGAAACCCAGUGUGAUUCGUCACACUAUCAUUAACUGAAUCCAUAGGUUAAUGAGGCGAACCGGGGGAACUGAAACAUCUAAGUACCCCGAGGAAAAGAAAUCAACCGAGAUUCCCCCAGUAGCGGCGAGCGAACGGGGAGCAGCCCAGAGCCUGAAUCAGUGUGUGUGUUAGUGGAAGCGUCUGGAAAGGCGCGCGAUACAGGGUGACAGCCCCGUACACAAAAAUGCACAUGCUGUGAGCUCGAUGAGUAGGGCGGGACACGUGGUAUCCUGUCUGAAUAUGGGGGGACCAUCCUCCAAGGCUAAAUACUCCUGACUGACCGAUAGUGAACCAGUACCGUGAGGGAAAGGCGAAAAGAACCCCGGCGAGGGGAGUGAAAAAGAACCUGAAACCGUGUACGUACAAGCAGUGGGAGCACGCUUAGGCGUGUGACUGCGUACCUUUUGUAUAAUGGGUCAGCGACUUAUAUUCUGUAGCAAGGUUAACCGAAUAGGGGAGCCGAAGGGAAACCGAGUCUUAACUGGGCGUUAAGUUGCAGGGUAUAGACCCGAAACCCGGUGAUCUAGCCAUGGGCAGGUUGAAGGUUGGGUAACACUAACUGGAGGACCGAACCGACUAAUGUUGAAAAAUUAGCGGAUGACUUGUGGCUGGGGGUGAAAGGCCAAUCAAACCGGGAGAUAGCUGGUUCUCCCCGAAAGCUAUUUAGGUAGCGCCUCGUGAAUUCAUCUCCGGGGGUAGAGCACUGUUUCGGCAAGGGGGUCAUCCCGACUUACCAACCCGAUGCAAACUGCGAAUACCGGAGAAUGUUAUCACGGGAGACACACGGCGGGUGCUAACGUCCGUCGUGAAGAGGGAAACAACCCAGACCGCCAGCUAAGGUCCCAAAGUCAUGGUUAAGUGGGAAACGAUGUGGGAAGGCCCAGACAGCCAGGAUGUUGGCUUAGAAGCAGCCAUCAUUUAAAGAAAGCGUAAUAGCUCACUGGUCGAGUCGGCCUGCGCGGAAGAUGUAACGGGGCUAAACCAUGCACCGAAGCUGCGGCAGCGACGCUGAUGCGUUGUUGGGUAGGGGAGCGUUCUGUAAGCCUGUGAAGGUGUACUGUGAGGUAUGCUGGAGGUAUCAGAAGUGCGAAUGCUGACAUAAGUAACGAUAAAGCGGGUGAAAAGCCCGCUCGCCGGAAGACCAAGGGUUCCUGUCCAACGUUAAUCGGGGCAGGGUGAGUCGACCCCUAAGGCGAGGCCGAAAGGCGUAGUCGAUGGGAAACAGGUUAAUAUUCCUGUACUUGGUGUUACUGCGAAGGGGGGACGGAGAAGGCUAUGUUGGCCGGGCGACGGUUGUCCCGGUUUAAGCGUGUAGGCUGGUUUUCCAGGCAAAUCCGGAAAAUCAAGGCUGAGGCGUGAUGACGAGGCACUACGGUGCUGAAGCAACAAAUGCCCUGCUUCCAGGAAAAGCCUCUAAGCAUCAGGUAACAUCAAAUCGUACCCCAAACCGACACAGGUGGUCAGGUAGAGAAUACCAAGGCGCUUGAGAGAACUCGGGUGAAGGAACUAGGCAAAAUGGUGCCGUAACUUCGGGAGAAGGCACGCUGAUAUGUAGGUGAAGUCCCUCGCGGAUGGAGCUGAAAUCAGUCGAAGAUACCAGCUGGCUGCAACUGUUUAUUAAAAACACAGCACUGUGCAAACACGAAAGUGGACGUAUACGGUGUGACGCCUGCCCGGUGCCGGAAGGUUAAUUGAUGGGGUUAGCGCNACAUCAAAUCGUACCCCAAACCGACACAGGUGGUCAGGUAGAGAAUACCAAGGCGCUUGAGAGAACUCGGGUGAAGGAACUAGGCAAAAUGGUGCCGUAACUUCGGGAGAAGGCACGCUGAUAUGUAGGUGAAGUGAUUUACUCAUGGAGCUGAAAUCAGUCGAAGAUACCAGCUGGCUGCAACUGUUUAUUAAAAACACAGCACUGUGCAAACACGAAAGUGGACGUAUACGGUGUGACGCCUGCCCGGUGCCGGAAGGUUAAUUGAUGGGGUUAGCGCAAGCGAAGCUCUUGAUCGAAGCCCCGGUAAACGGCGGCCGUAACUAUAACGGUCCUAAGGUAGCGAAAUUCCUUGUCGGGUAAGUUCCGACCUGCACGAAUGGCGUAAUGAUGGCCAGGCUGUCUCCACCCGAGACUCAGUGAAAUUGAACUCGCUGUGAAGAUNNNNNNNNNNNNNNNNNNNNNNNNNNNNNNNNNNNNNNNNNNNNNNNNNNNNNNNNNNNNNNNNNNNNNNNNNNNNNNNNNNNNAGCGCAAGCGAAGCUCUUGAUCGAAGCCCCGGUAAACGGCGGCCGUAACUAUAACGGUCCUAAGGUAGCGAAAUUCCUUGUCGGGUAAGUUCCGACCUGCACGAAUGGCGUAAUGAUGGCCAGGCUGUCUCCACCCGAGACUCAGUGAAAUUGAACUCGCUGUGAAGAUGCAGUGUACCCGCGGCAAGACGGAAAGACCCCGUGAACCUUUACUAUAGCUUGACACUGAACAUUGAGCCUUGAUGUGUAGGAUAGGUGGGAGGCUUUGAAGUGUGGACGCCAGUCUGCAUGGAGCCGACCUUGAAAUACCACCCUUUAAUGUUUGAUGUUCUAACGUGGACCCGUAAUCCGGGUUGCGGACAGUGUCUGGUGGGUAGUUUGACUGGGGCGGUCUCCUCCUAAAGAGUAACGGAGGAGCACGAAGGUUGGCUAAUCCUGGUCGGACAUCAGGAGGUUAGUGCAAUGGCAUAAGCCAGCUUGACUGCGAGCGUGACGGCGCGAGCAGGUGCGAAAGCAGGUCAUAGUGAUCCGGUGGUUCUGAAUGGAAGGGCCAUCGCUCAACGGAUAAAAGGUACUCCGGGGAUAACAGGCUGAUACCGCCCAAGAGUUCAUAUCGACGGCGGUGUUUGGCACCUCGAUGUCGGCUCAUCACAUCCUGGGGCUGAAGUAGGUCCCAAGGGUAUGGCUGUUCGCCAUUUAAAGUGGUACGCGAGCUGGGUUUAGAACGUCGUGAGACAGUUCGGUCCCUAUCUGCCGUGGGCGCUGGAGAACUGAGGGGGGCUGCUCCUAGUACGAGAGGACCGGAGUGGACGCAUCACUGGUGUUCGGGUUGUCAUGCCAAUGGCACUGCCCGGUAGCUAAAUGCGGAAGAGAUAAGUGCUGAAAGCAUCUAAGCACGAAACUUGCCCCGAGAUGAGUUCUCCCUGACUCCUUGAGAGUCCUGAAGGAACGUUGAAGACGACGACGUUGAUAGGCCGGGUGUGUAAGCGCAGCGAUGCGUUGAGCUAACCGGUACUAAUGAACCGUGAGGCUUAACCUUACAACGCCGAAGGUGUUU
rnacentral:rRNA from 1 species